rnacentral:rRNA from 1 species
UACGGAGGGUGCAAGCGUUAUCCGGAUUCACUGGGUUUAAAGGGUGCGUAGGCGGGUAAGUAAGUCCGUGGUGAAAUCUCUGAGCUUAACUCAGAAACUGCCGUGGAUACUAUUUGCCUUGAAUAUUGUGGAGGUGAGCGGAAUAUGUCAUGUAGCGGUGAAAUGCUUGGAUAUGACAUAGAACACCGAUUGCGAAGGCAGCUCACUACACAAUGAUUGACGCUGAGGCACGAAAGCGUGGGGAUCAAACAGG